UUUACCAUUUUACCAUUGGUUCGUACCAAUCCACCGAUAUGGGAUCAGCCAGGCUGGUAUCGCCUCACAUCCGCCAUGAUUGGAGUGGGUGAGAGAAUGAUGAUGUGGGCUAUGUUGGAGCUCGGCUCAUACAGUCCAGAACAUGAAUAACUUGCAGGAGUUCAUACUUUUCCUUUAAACUUCAAAUUGAAUCAAAGCAGAAGAUGAUGAUGAUACAAUCAAAGACCCAACAAUCCAGUCUUCUAGUCCUCUUGAGAAGAUCACCUCAAUUUCAAUUUGUUGAACUGACUACUAAGCUGAAGACCAAAGGCUUGGUUCAGAUGAAGAUGUGCCUCCUAACAGGUACAUUUCUAAUGUCUUUCAACACACGCACAUGAACACAUGGAAGCCAUGGAGGCGAGAACUGAUUUCCAAACUAGUAGAAUACAUUGUUGAUGGAUCUCUUAAUCAUGUUAAUUUCACUGGAAAUGGUAAUACUAUGUUCUUAGUCAAACUUUUGAGACUUCUGGAAAGUACAGAUUUUGUAUCUCAUUCCCUACUUGGAUUUUUUUUCCUUUUUUUGGGGGGAUAUCUAUUUUUGUUUCCCUGUUGCAGAACAGAGUAUACAAUUUUUGAAUAUCUCAUUUGAAA